GGAUCCUACGGGAGGCAGCAGUGGGGAAUAUUGGGCAAUGGGCGCAAGCCUGACCCAGCAACGCCGCGUGAAGGAAGAAGGCUUUCGGGUUGUAAACUUCUUUUAAGAGGGAAGAGCAGAAGACGGUACCCCUUUAGGAAGCCACGGCUAACUACGUGCCAGCAGCCGCGGUAAUACGUAGGUGGCGAGCGUUGUCCGGAAUUACUGGGUGUAAAGGGAGUGUAGGCGGGAAAGCAAGUCAGAAGUGAAAACUAUGGGCUUAACCCAUAGCCUGCUUUUGAAACUGUUUUUCUUGAGUGAAGUAG
rnacentral:rRNA from 1 species